ACUCCUACGGGAGGCAGCAGUGGGAAUAUUGCACAAUGGGCGAAAGCCUGAUGCAGCGACGCCGCGUGAUGGACGACGGCCUUCGGGUUGUAAACCUCUUUCAGUAGGGAACAAGGCAUCAUUUUUGUGGUGUUGAGGGUACUUGCAGAAGAAGCACCGGCUAACUACGUGCCAGCAGCCGCGGUAAUACGUAGGGUGCAAGCGUUAUCCGGAAUUAUUGGGCGUAAAGAGCUCGUAGGCGGUUUGUCGCGUCUGUCGUGAAAGUCCGGGCUCAACUCCGGAUCUGCGGUGGGUACGGGCAGACUAGAGUGAUGUAGGGGAGACUGGAAUUCCUGGUGUAGCGGUGGAAUGCGCAGAUAUCAGGAGGAACACCGAUGGCGAAGGCAGGUCUCUGGGCAUUAACUGACGCUGAGGAGCGAAAGCAUGGGGAGCGAACAGGAUUAGAUACCCUGGUAGGCUCUGC
rnacentral:rRNA from 1 species